ACGUAAUAGAUACCCCGGUAGUCCACACCCUAAACGAUGUCUACUAGUUGUCGGGUCUUAAUUGACUUGGUAAACGCAGCUAAACGCGUGAAAGUAGACCGCCUGGGGAGUACGGUCGCAAGAUUAAAACUCAAAGGAAUUGACGGGGACCCGCACAAGCGGUGGAUGAUGUGGAUUAAUUCGAUGCAACGCGAAAAACCUUACCUACCCUUGACAUGGAUGGAAUCCCUGAGAGAUCGGGGAGUGCUCGAAAGAGAACCAUUACACAGGUGCUGCAUGGCUGUCGUCAGCUCGUGUCGUGAGAUGUUGGGUUAAGUCCCGCAACGAGCGCAACCCUUGUCAUUAGUUGCUACGAAAGGGCACUCUAAUGAGACUGCCGGUGACAAACCGGAGGAAGGUGGGGAUGACGUCAAGUCCUCAUGGCCCUUAUGGGUAGGGCUUCACACGUCAUACAAUGGUACAUACAGAGGGCCGCCAACCCGCGAGGGGGAGCUAAUCCCAGAAAGUGUAUCGUAGUCCGGAUUGUAGUCUGCAACUCG
rnacentral:rRNA from 1 species